rnacentral:misc_RNA from 1 species
UUGUACACACCGCCCGUCGCUCUUACCGAUGGACUUCUCUGUGAGUUUGAGGGACUGGGUACUGCGUAGUAUUUAUAUACUAUGCUAUCACCUAUGGAAACUUAAACGAACAGUGUGGUCUAAAGGAAAGAGAAGUCGUAACAAGGCAUCGGUAGGUGAACCUGCCGAUGGAUCAUUACGCGUAAUUUUUAUAAAAUUUAUCUCGCAUAAAUUUUUAUUCCUACGCUUAUAACCUAAUUUUGAAACUAGUUACGGGUGGUUGGCUCGCCAACUGCCCACACCUUUUAACAUCCUAUGUUAAUCAUUCGAUGCACUCUGUGCGCGAAUCUAACCCAAAAUUUUUGUCACUCAUAGUAGACAUCGUAUAUAUUAAUCUAUAUAUACAUAACUGCAUGAGCGAUGGAUCUCUUGGUUCCUUGCAUCGUUGAAGGUCGCAGCGAAUUGCGAAAUAUUGGUCGUGUGAAUUGCAAGACACAUUGGUCCAUUUUUCGGGCUGCGGAACACCUUACUCACUGAACGUUUAUAUCGCUUUGCAGAUUAAGCUUUGUGUUCUCACAUUGCCUGCAGCGCGCUCGGUUGAGUGUGCUUUAUAACAUACACGUAUUUUACGUACGUAUGCACAUAUUUUUUCUUAUCACGUGUGGGAUACUAUGUAUCGUAUACGCGUAAGAAAUUAUCAAAAUUCUCUCCUAUGAAUAGCGUAGCGCUUAUUUUUUAAGCCAGUACUACCCUAGGAAUAUAUCUCUCGUAUGUGUUAUUCAUACAUGCUGAUAUUUUCCGCAGUAAAAUUUUUUUACCGCGUGCACGAGUGUAAAAAUCUCGCAUAGACGUUAAUAAUUUAUUAUUAAUCCUACGCAUAAGAUAUUUUCAUUCAUAUGCUUAUGCCGUGUAAAAGCUUAUAAAUUUUACGCCCAUAUCUUUCCUAAGGCACAUCAGCUCGAGUGAG